UAACAAGGUUUCUGUAGGUGAACCUGCAGAAGGAUCAUUAGUGAAAGUUUCGGGCCUGCCAUACGGACGCAAACACGUCUCUGGCGCCCAUCACUAUAUCCAUACCAACCCCUGUGCACUGUGAUGACGAAUGUCAUCGAACAAAAAAAAACUCGUAUGGUUGAAUGUACGUGAAAUUGUAGGUAUAGCCUACGAACUAUACACAACUUUCGACAACGGAUCUCUUGGUUCUCCCAUCGAUGAAGAACGCAGCGAAACGCGAUAGGUAAUGUGAAUUGCAGAAUUCCGUGAAUCAUCGAAUCUUUGAACGCACCUUGCGCUCCAUGGUAUUCCGUGGAGCAUGCCUGUUUGAGUGCCGCGAAUUCUCCCUCCCCUUACGGUGGCCGAAAGGCCGAAGUAGGGCGGACGGGGUAGGAUGGGUGUUUGCUGCCUGGGGAUUGUACCAGGCUCGCCCGAAAUGCAUAAGCGCCAGGACCCUCGCUACCGCUCUCUAGGGAAGAGUGGCUAAGCGACCGCUGAGCAUGGCAUGAUACGUCAUUUGCUGUGUGUGGGCGGCCGGUUGGAGAGGUGUCUGCUUUACCAGCCCUAUUUUAAUUCUGGUCUCAAAUCAGGUAGGAUCACCCGCUGAAC
rnacentral:misc_RNA from 1 species